rnacentral:rRNA from 1 species
UACGUAGGCAGCGAGCGUUGUUCGGAGUUACUGGGCGUAAAGGGUGUGUAGGCGGUUGUUUGCGUUUGGCGUGAAAUCUCCCGGCUCAACUGGGAGGGUGCGCCGAAUACUGAGCGACUAGAGUGCGGGAGAGGAAAGUGGAAUUCCUGGUGUAGCGGUGAAAUGCGUAGAUAUCAGGAGGAACACCGGUGGUGUAGACGGCUUUCUGGACCGUAACUGACGCUGAGACACGAAAGCGUGGGUAGCAAACAGG